AGAGCAUCCAUUUCUUACUUAUUAGAACACUGACUCCACCAGCAAGUUAGCUCGACUAUACAUCAAAGAGAUUAUUCGAUUCCAUGGCGUUCCCUCUUUCAUCAUUUCAAACAAAGACCCUCCGAUUCACCUCCCAUUUCUAGGAUAAUUUUCAGGAUGCCUUUGAUUCGGGAUUGUACUUUAGUACUGACUAUCACCCCUAAAUUGAUGGUCAGUCCGAGCGACCAUCC
rnacentral:lncRNA from 1 species